AUAUUACUCCCUCCGUCCCAAAAUAAGUGGCUCAACUUUGUACUAACUUUGUACUAAACUUAGUACAAAGUUGAGUCACUUAUUUUGGGACGGAGGGAGUAUUUA
rnacentral:pre_miRNA from 1 species